AAUGAGCUCCCAUUGUCCCUGUCCCCAAUAGGUGCAAUGGGAAAAAAAGCUGCAGGAUCAUGGCCAGUAGAGAUGUGUUUGGGGAACCCUGUGAAGGCACCUACAAGUAUUUGGAAGUUUCUUACACGUGUCACUAUCCUGGGCAAGAUUUCUAAAGUGGUGGCAUUGAUGGCUGUUUGAGUCCAUGAUGCAACUGUCUCAAUACUCUUAAGUGAUUGGGUCAGACAUCACUGUUCAGUUUUUUUUUUUUUCCUCAAUAAAAAUACUUGGGACACAAA